CCGAUCAAGGCGCAGUGUAAUUAAAACCAACAGCUACGAAAAAACAUGAAGUCUGAGUAUCUCGUUCUUCUUCUGUUAUUUCUUAGUUUCACUGGAUGGAACGAUGCGGCGUCCAACGCUAAGCCUGGAAUUUAUAAGAGACAAUUCAGAAUGUGCUUCGUUUGCUGUUACAUCUCAAAGAGCUGUAGGAAGCAAAUCCGUCGACAAUGUUCCUGCUGGAAAAGGAAAUGAUACCAACCAUUCCUGAUAAGCCAGCGAAAGUUCCCGAAAGGUCAUCGUAUCACAUUGAGGCCAAAACGAGAAAUAAAAGAGCUUGAAACUAACGCA